CCCAAUGUUCUUUUCCUAAACCCAACUGUUUAUUGUUUUCAUAAGCAUGUGACAUUGGUCACCGUCGUGUUUUUUGUUUAUUACUAAAGCCUUUCCCAAUGUUCUUUCCCUAAACCCAACCUUUUUUCUUUUUUUUUUUUUUUUACAAGUGUGUGACGUUCUCGCGAUACCACGGCACGUUCUCGCGAUGGUGUGUAUGUUUACAUCCGCUGUAUACAGCGUAGACAUACACAUGGAUAGCUCAAAAUGCGUACAGAUAACACGACAUUUGGCUUUAGGAAAGUGGCGUGU